ensembl:lncRNA
AUAGAUUUUAUGAUUAAAUAGCUAAAUGUAAGCAUUUACUUUGUACAUCUAACACAUAAUAAUUCAUUAUCUAGAAUAUGAAUAAUUACUCUACAACUUUGUAAUCUAUGUUUAUAAUUAAGAAUGAAUUCCAACCUGAUGAAUUUCAAAUUAUUCAGAGUUAACAUCUCCAGAGAAGAAAUAUUUGUUUAUCCAGUAAAGAUGUAUAGCUUCCACUAAAUAUAGAAUACUAUAGGACUUCAAACUUGAGGACUCUUGUGUGGAUGCUGCAUAGUCUAAGAUCCUGCUUAAAGACUAAGACACAUAAGACAUCACAGUGACAAUAUUUUCAUUAACAUAUACCUUUCAAAGCUAUCUAAUACAUAAUUUUCAGCUACUUCAAAGAUAUUAAGUAAAAAAUCUUGUAGAAGUAAAAUAGACAAAAGGAUUAAAGAAAACCAACAUGGUAAAGCACAAUGUUAAGGGUUAUUCAUUCACACAUUGUAUCCAUUAUUUUUCCCUCUUACUAAAAAUAGAUUCUUUUAAUGACAUAAUAUAUCCUAAUUAGGGUGUUUCCUCCCUCUGCUCCCACCUGCACUCCCAACUGGACGCAUUUCUUUUCUGUCUCUCAUUAGAAAACAAACAGGUUUUGAAGGAAUAAUAAUAAAGUAUAAUAUAAUAAGAUAAAGCAAAAACUAACACAUCAGUAUUGGACAAAACAAACAGACAGAAGGAAAAUAUCCCAACAGAAGGCAAAGGAAACAGAGACCUUCUCAUUUGCAUACUCAUGAAUCACAUCAAACCACCAAACCAGACACCAUAAUUCAUACACAAAGGAUAUGAUACAUACGCAGGUCAUUCAAAGGCACUGAAAUAUGUAAAAUAUCACAUGAAAACUUGAGACAUUUUCCUCUAAAAUUUUCUCAAAGAUGAUAUAAAAAAGCAGUCAAGUUCAAUCUAGAACCUAGAGAUGGAGUCAGGAACAUAGAGGGGAAGUUACCACAAUGAAUGACAAAAUGAACAAUAUGAUAGAGCAGUCACCAACAUGGGAGCAAAAGUCAACAAGGAAAUUGAGAACUUAGAAAAAGAAAAAUAGAAAUGUAGGAAAGAAAUACUCCAUGAAUCUAACAAAAAAAGUACAGUAUGAGUUUCAAAGGAGCUAAAAGAUCUCUACCAUGAAAACAGAAAUUGAACAGUAAUCCAGUCUUAGAUAACCAGAAAUAAUAUGAUUAAAUAUCAACAUUAUAAAUAGGUUGUUAAAGCACCCUACAGAUUUAAUACAAUCUUCAUCUGAAUUCUGAUGAUAUUCUCCAUAGAACAAGGAAAAAAUACUAAGGUUAUGAUGAGAACACAAAUGAUCCCAAACAGCCAUAGAAAUCCUAAACAGGAAAAAAAUAUGUUGCAGAUGCCAUAAUAGCUAUUUCAGACUGUACCACAGAGCUACAAUAUCAAACACAGCUGAAGACUGACACAAAAGCAAACCCAGAGACAAGUGGGAGGGAUGACUGAUCCAGAAAUAAACACACAGGUGCAGGUAUCUAAUAUUUACAAAAUUGUCAAAAAUGUACAUGAGGUAGGGAGAGAGGUCUCUUCAACAAAAAACACUGGGAAUAUGGAUAUUGACAUGUAAAAUUAAAGUUAAAUCCAUAAUUUACACCAUGAACCAAAAGAAAUUCAACUGGACCAGAGAUCUUAUAUAAAAUGAAGAAUUGUGAAUCAUUUAAAUGUAAAAAUAUUAAAUAGUAAAAAUAUUUUAAGAUACAGGCAUAAUCAAGAAUUUUCUGAAAAAUAGACAUCAAUAGCACAGAAAAUUAUAUCAGAACAUGUAGAAUUGCAUGAAAUUAAAAAAGCAAAAUGCUGAGUAUUCUUUUUGAUUUAUAAGGUGUUUUGAUUUAAAAGUUUGGAAAACAUUAUUGUUAUUGCCUGAGGUUGGUGCUGGGGGCGAGAAAAAAACAUGUUUGUUUUUGAAGUAUAAAUAAAGUAUAAAUAGCUCAAGCUAUUCAGGGCUGCCACUUGUGUGAAACUCAUCUGGUACUCAGACUCUAUGUGCAGAAACCCCUUCCCUGUCUCGGGACUAGAACCCAGCUGAGGCAGGACCCCUGCAAAAUAUCUUAUUAUAAAUGGAAAUAUUUUGACCUCAAGGAAGUUUAGUUAAUGAAUACCACACGUAACUGGUCUGAGCAAGUUCUGGUUUUCUUAUUAUUCUUAGUCAAUGCCCUAAAGAACAUGCAGGACCAUAUACCAAAACUAAAGAAUACACAUCUUUGUAGAAGUCCGUGGAAUUUUUUCCAAGAUCUACCAUGUAUUACCAUACAAAACAAGUUUCAACAAAUAUAGGAAAGUUGAAAUUAUAGCCUGUAUUCUAUCUGACCACAAUGAGAGAAAACUGGAUAUUACAGCAAUAAAAACUACAGAAAGUACAUAAUCCCAUGAUGAUUAUAUAGCAUGCUACAUAACAAUAAUUUGAUCUAAUAUAAAUCAAACAAUAAAUUUAAAAAUUAAUAAAAUAGAAAGAAAAUAAAAACACAAUGUAUCAAAAUCUAUGGAAUAAAAUGACGGCAGUCCUGAGGAACAGCACUAAGUGUCUACUUUUAAAAAACAAGAGAUCACACUUAAUAAUUUAAUAAUGUACAUGAAGUCCUUGGAAAACCAAGAAUGAACCAAGCCCCAAAACAAGAGCUUGCAACAGAUAACCAAAAUCAGAGAUUAAAUAGAACCAAUAGCAAAAAAAAAAAAUGUAAAGUACAAAGAAUCAGUAAAAUGAAGAGUUGGUUCUUUGAAAAGAUAAAUAAGAUGUACACACACUUACCCAAAUUAACCAAAAGAAAACUAGAACAUCUAAAUUAAAAUAAAAAACAAAAAGAGACACUUAAAACACAUAACAAUGAAAUUCAGAAAAGCAUAAGAAUAUACUUUAAAAACCUAUAUUUCAUGAAAUUAGGCAAAUCUAAAAGAAAGGGACAAAUUCCUAGAUCCUUACACCAUACCAAAGCUAAACCAAUACAAAAUAAAAAUUUUAAUUAGUGCUAUAACUAGCAGUAUUAUUUAAGUGGUAAUAAAAAAAAAACAAAGUCACCAAAUAAAUAACACCCAGGACUAGAUGGAUUAACUGCAUAAUUCUACCAGAUAUCCUGAGAAAAAUUAACACCAAUACUACUCACAUCUUUCCAUGAAGUAGAAGAUGAACAAAGGCUCCCAAAUACUUUCUGGGAAACCAGUAUUAUGCAGAUACCAAAAUCAGCUAAUGACAGAGCAAUAAAAUAAAGUGAAAUUUCACACCAAUCUCCCUGAUUAAUUUUGACACAAAAAUUUUAAAAAACCAGGAAACUGAAUUCAACUACUCAUCAGAGUUAUCAUUGGUUUCAUUCCAAGGAAAUAAUGAUGGUUCAACACACAUGACUCAAUAAACUUUACAAUCAUAUAGAUAGAAAUCACAUGAUUAUCUCAUUGACACAGAAAAAAGCCUAUGACAAAAAUCCAUCAUUUUAAUGACUGAAGUCACUGGAAGGCUGGGAAUGGAAGGAAUAUGCUUCAGUAUAGUCUGGAUACUGCAGCUUUACAGACAACAGCAUGCUUGGUGGAGAGAAACUCCAGGAGCCCCAGUAAUUUCAGUAACAGCCAAGGACGUCCACUCUUCCCAACCUGUUAAACUGCUUGACAUUUUAGCAGUAACAAUAAAACAAAAGGAAAUAACAGGGAUACAAGUAGGGAAAGAAGUCAUGCUAUCCGUCUUUGUAGAUGAUAUUAUUCUUUUCAUAAGAGUUUUAAAGCCUCCAAUAAAAAGACUCUUACUUGAGAAAUGAAUUCAUCAGGUUGGCAGGAGAAUGGUUACAAUCUCAAAGCACAUGUUCUCCUCAUGUAGAGCAAAAUCAUGGAGUUCCACAGCCUCUUUGCAAUCCUCAUGGCUCUGUCCUGGAUGUCACUAUCCUCCUCCUCCUGCUGGCUGUUCUAAGGUUGUGACUGCAUCACAAACGGCUACACAGACACCACACCCAGAAUUAAUUACAGGUGUCAUUAGAUAAAAUUCAUUGGGUUUCAUGAUACAAUUCAAUUUUGAAUUUUAAAAAGGUACAAAUAGAAUGAUGUUCUUUAGAAAAGUAGAGAGGCACAACCUGGAACCUGAACUUGCUACCUAUCCUGAAAUACUCAUAGUCACAAGGCAAGUGGCAUGAGUGUUUGGAAAAUAGCAAGCAUUAUCGCCACUGACAAAUAAAAUUGAGAAUUAUUUUGUUGAUAUCAAGUGAUGUUGAGAUUUCUACACAGUCCACAAAUUUCUGGUAGACUUUCAUUUUUAUUAUAUAAAAUAACUAUAUGAAGCUAAUAUCUUUCCUGAAUUAUAAAAAAUUUCAGGGGACUUCAUCACAGGCAAAUACAAUAAAAAAUAAUUCCAAUUUAAAGAACUACUGAUGCCUUGGGUUUUCUUCUAUUGUUGCACCAGCAAUUUUGUUUGAAAUUUAAUAUUCAUAAUAUUGAAAAAUAAUUUGCCAUCAAUAGCAUUCAAUGUGAGGUACUUUUAAUAAUGAACAUGACCACCAAGUACUAAAGAUCUUAAUUAUUGUUGCAAAACAUUGGCCAUUCAUUUAAAAAUGUAAAAAAAUCAAAAUUAUUUUGCCUUAAAGAAUAUAUUUAAGUUACCCAUUGAGACCUGCAUACCACCCUAUUUCCCUAUACAUUAAAUAAUUCCUGUUUUCAUUUCUCUGUACUUUUUCCUGACUUCAGUCUGUCUUUGCUGAAAGUCAUAAUAUGGAAACCAAGAAGUAAUUAAAUAUUAACACAUACCAAUUAGUAUGUAAGUUGUUCACCCUCAGCACCAUCUUCAAUAGGAUGAUGAUGAGAUCUUGUUCCAUUAGUAAGAUGAAAACUACAUGAAUAAAAAAAACAGAAAGUCAUUCUAAAAGGAAAGGUAUUCAUCUCAUUAAAACCCACAACCAUGGGUUUUAAAUUUUUUCAAAGUUUUUGCAAUCAUGAAGGGCUCAAAAGAAUGUAGCUCAAACAAAUGGCUGAUUUAUGUCCAUGCCAGUUCAUAAAACAUUCAAUUGUAUUAUUGACAUAGUUGAUAUUAGUGGACUAGAUUCUAAAAUGAGAUUGUCUAAGAUUGAGUCUUUUUUUUCUUUUCUUUUCUUGAACAGUUUUCAUAUAUAGUUCUGACUGGGCAGGGACUUGACAUUUGGCCCACACUGACUGUAAGCUCAUAACAACCCUUUUCAUUCAGCCAAUUCUUUGGAUUAUGGCAUGCAUUAUUAUAUUCAGCUUUGAACCUUUAUUUUUAACAAAUUAAAAUAUCAAAGCCUUCACGUGCAAUUUGUGAAUCAUAGUAAGACUAGCUUUACAGAACGGCUGCCAUGUGAAUGGAUGAAUGAGAGUGAGUGAGUGAAUGAAUGAAUGAGUGGCAAUUGGACUUGGAAUAUAACAGAAGUUUCCUUUCUGUUGACAAGCACUACAGCACGCAUUUGCACCAGCUCAAGUUUUAUUUCUCUCAAGACACAGUUGAGUUUCCACAGUGGAAAUAUUCAAGAAUCAUCAAAAAACCAAUAUUUAUGCAACUAGAUGCUUUUUUUAAGGAUUUGUUAAACUUCAGAUUUCCUGUAUUUUUAUAACAUUCAUGUUAGAAAUGGGGAAAAAUAGGGGCUGAAGAGAUGGCACAAUGGCACUGGCUGUUCUUAUGCAGGACCCAAGUUCAAUUCCCAGCACCCACAUGGCAGGUCACAAGGUCUGUAAACACAAUUCUGGAAAAUCCCAUGGAAUCUCUUGGCUUCUGAAGACAGCAAGAAUGCACAUGACAUGGAAACAUACAUUCAGACAAAACACUCAAACACAUAAAAGAAUAAACUAAAAUAAACUUUUUUAAAAGAUAAGAAAAAUAGAGAAGCUAGAUAUUUGGUCCAUGGCAAGAAGUAGCCAAAUAAAGCCCAAAUCUUCAGACCACAUACUUAAUCAAAAUCAGCUGAACUUGGAAAAAGAAAAGUCACAUUUUCUAUAGUGAAAACUGCUGAAACAAAUUGGUGCAGUGGGAGCUUGUCAUUAAAGUCAGUCUCCGGAAGUUCAUUGUGAAUCCAACUGACCUAGUGAGGCCAACAAGCUGCUGAAUGUAUGGAAAUCCAAUGAUCGGUCUACACACUGCACUGUAGGAUUCAUAGACAGACAUAGAGUGACAUGUAUUUCAAAUAGGUGACAUUUCAAUAAUGCAUCCUUUCAAAGUAGUGUCAAGAAAGGGAAGACUUUACUGCUUUGCCUUGAAAUGUCAGCGUGCUGCUCCAGGGAUUGGCUGAACUCCCUCCCCUGCUGAACUCUUCACCUCCAUUGAUCUGAAGUUCUUGUUUUAAGAACAAAAAAGAAAGAAAAGUAAAGAAAGAGAUGACCUCUCACAAACUCCUCAAGGAGAAACAGACACAAAUAUUUUAGAUUCUCUGGAUUUUUAACUAGGAAAUCAGCACUUUGCAAAUGUUUUUGCUGCUACCUACAUCAUCUUUUCUGACAAUCUCAGACCUAUCAUCUUCUAGUAAGAUUAAGGUUCAUGUUUGGAAAACUAACAGAGACAUGGGGAUAGGAAUGAGUUGGCUUCUAAAAGGCCCCUUCUUCUAGCAUGUGUCAAAGCUAUGGUCUAACAACACUGAAAUGUUACAUGACCCAAUCUGAUCCUAUGAAAAUGGCCAACUAAGUGGAACAUGAUACAAAUAAGUCUGGAUGAUUUGUGUCAAAUAUUGAUGGUCAAGUUUCUAUCAUAAAUCAAGUACUUACUGCCUUUCUUUUCCAUGCUUUUGAUUUUUUUUUUUUUGAAAUUCAAGGCACAACAUGAUGCCCUAAGAUACUGAUAAAGUGAAAACAAUGUAACAUAUGCAUCAUAUGUUAAUUAAUUCCCAGGUCCCCACUCUUGAUUUUCAGCAUAUUUUAAGCACUAUUCCUUCAGAGAAAUCUAGAAUACAGUGCACUAUAUUUUUCUUUUUUAUUUAAAUUAGAAACAAGCUUCUUUUACAUGUCAAUCUCAGUUUCCUCUUCCUCCCUUCUUCUGCUGCCCCCUACUGACCCCCUGUCCCAACCACUUUCUGCUCCUCAGGAGGGGAGGCCUUCCAGGAGGAACUUCAAAGUCUGUCAUAUCAUUUGGAGCAGGGCCUAGAACCUCACCAGUGAGUCUAGGCUGAGAGAGCAUCCUUUAUGUGAAGAGGGCUCCCAAAGUCUAUUUGUGUACUAGGGAUAAAUACUGAUCCACUACCAGUGGCCCCAUAGAUUGCCCAGACAUCCAAACUGACCUCUUCAUUCAGAGGGUCUGGAACAGUCCUAGACUGGUUUCUUAGUUAUCAUCCUGGGGUCCAUGAGCAACCCCUUGUUCAGGUCAGCUGUUUCUGUGGGUUUCACCAGCCUGGUCUUGACUUUGCUCAUCACUCCUCCCUCUCUGCAACUGGAUUCCAGAGUUCAGCUCAGUGUUUAGCUGUGGGUGUCUGCUACUGCUUCCAUCAGCUACUAGAUGAAGGCUCUAGGAUGGCAUAUAAGGUAGUCAUCAAUCUCAUUAUCGGAGAAGGGCAUUAAGGCAGCCUCUUGACUAUUGCUUAGAUUGUUACUUGGGGUCAACCUUGUAGAUCUCUGGACAUUUUCCUAGAGCCAGAAUUCUCUUUAAACCUACAAUGGCUCCCUCUGUUAUGGUAUCUCUUUUCUUGCUUUUCUCUAUUCUUCCCCAACUCAAUCUUUAUGCUCCCUCAUGUCUCUCUUCCCCUCCUCUUCUCCCCUCUCAUUCUCCUAGCUCCCUCUCCCCCCCCCCCAUGCACCCAAUUAGCUUAUCGAUCUUGUCCCUUUCCCCUUCUUUGGGGGACCAUGUAUGUCUCUCUUAGGGUCCUCCUUGUUUCUUAGCUUCUCUGGAACUGUGGAUUGUAGGCUGGUACUUCAUUGCUCUAGAUCAAAAAACCAUAUAUGAGUGAGUCCAUACCAUUUUUGUCCUUUUGUGACAUCCUGAGUUACCUCACUCAGGAUGAUUUCUUCUAGUUCCAUUCAUUUGCCUGCAAAUUUCAAGAUUCCAUUUUUUUCUGAUUAAUAAUGCUCCAUUGUGUAAAUGUUUCACAUUUUCUCCAUAUAUUCUUCACUUGAGGGGCAUCUAGGCUGCUUCCAGUUUCUGGCUAUUACAAAUAGUGCUGCCCUGAAUAUGGUUGAACUGAUGUCCUUGUUGUAUGAAUGUGCUUCUUUUGGGUAUAUGCCUAAGAGUGGAAUUGCUGGAUCUUGUGGUAGAGUCAUUCCCAUUUUCCUGAGGAGUCGCCAUACUGAUUUCCACAGUGGCUGUGAAAGACCCCGCCACUUGGCUCGUUCUCUCUCUCGGUGACACUCCCGUACGCGCGCACACCCACACGCCUGGCGGCUGGCUCCCUCCCAAGCAGGUUCACCCAGGCGGGGCGACCCAGACCCGCCCGCCUGGGGCUGCACCCCGGGGCUGGGGCCGAGCAGGGAGCCCUCGAGGCGGAGAGAGGGCGCCCCCCCGCCCCCGCGCCCCCGCCCGAUGGGGAACCUCCAUCCCAAGGUCAGUCAUCUGGAUGCGGAGGGGGGAAUUGAGUCUGUUGUACCAGAUACAGACCUUGAGAAUAUGCUGACCUAAAAUAACUCUGUACCUCAUUAAAUUGUCCAAUAGAAUCCCUGUAACUAUGCUUUUCGCUUCUGCACUGUGCUUUUUGCUAUAUAAGGACCCCUCUCCCUUGGCUCGGGGCGCUUGGCCUAACAGAAGCUAAGUCGCCCGGGUACCCGUGUUUUCAAUAAAGCCUCUUGCUUUUGCAUCCAAGUUCGUGGUCUCGCUGAUUCCUGGGUGCGGGUCUCCUUCUACGAAAGUACCUCUUCUGAGGUCUUUCAGCUGUACAAGUUGGCACUCCCACCAGCAGUGGAGGAGUGUUCCCCUUUCUCCACAUCCUCUCCAGCAUAAAUUAUCAUUAGUGUUUUUGAUUUUAGCCAUUCUGACAAGAGUAAGAUGGUAUCUCAGAGUUGUUUUGAUUUGCAUUUCCCUGAUGGCUAAGGAUGUUGAGCACUUUCUUAUGUGUCUUUCAGCCAUUUUAGAUUCCUCUAUUGAGAUUCUCUAUUUAGUUCUGUACCCCACUUUUUAAUUUGAUUAGUUGGUGUUUUGGUGACUAGCUUUUUGAGUUCUUUGUAUAUUUUGGAAAUCAUCCUUCUGUCCCUCUGUCAGAUGUGGAGUUGGUGAAGAUCUUUUCCCAGUCUGUGGGCUGCUGUUAUGUCUUGUUGACUAUGUCCUUUACCUUACAGAAGCUUCUCAUUUUCAGGAGGUCCCAUUUAUUAAUUGUUGAUCUCAGUGUCUUGCUACAGUUGUUAUGUUCAGGAAGCAGUCUCCUGUACCAAUUCAUUUGAGGGUACCACCUACCUUCUCUUCUAAGAGGUUCAGUGUGGCUGGAUUUAUGUUGAGGUCUUUGAUCCAUUUGGACUUAAGUUUUGUGCAUGGCGAUAGAUAUUACAGUGCACUAUAUUAACUGUAGUUCCAUGCAAUUUUACAUGACAUCUCUAAACUUUUUCCCAUCUAUAUUUACUAAUUUGCAUCCUUCAUACCCUUAUUUAUUUGCCCACUCCAAUCCUGGUAAUCAUUGUUUGAUAUUUCUUUAUAGACACAUAUGCUCUUGCCUUUCCUUAAGAUUCCAAAUAAAUGUAAGGUCUUAAAGUCAUCUUAUUUCUUUCUCUACAUUAUUUCACCCAGCAUAGUGCCUCCUAGAUCUACCUAUACUGUGACAAAUCACAAGAUAUAUUCCUUUUUAGUGGACAAUAUUCCCCUGUGUGUGUGUGUGUGUGUGUGUGUGUGUGUGUGUGUGUGUGUGUGCAUGCAAAUGCAUAAGUUUCUUUAUCUAUCCCAGCCAUCAAAAGAAACCUUGGUGGUUUGAAAGAAAAUGCUCUCCAAAGGCAGUGGCACUAUUAGAAGGUGUGGCAUUGGUGGAGUAGGUGUGGCCUUGUUAGAGAAAGUGUGUCACUGUGGAGGUGGCCUUUGGGGUCACCUAUGCUUAAGCUACUCCUAGUGAGACAGACCACUUCUAUCUUAGUUAUGUUUUGAUUGCUGUGAAGAGACACCAUGACCACAACAACUCUUAUAAAGAAAAAUGUUUGUUUGGAGGAAUUUAGACUUUGGUACUUUGGGUUAGGAAAGCAGUGCAAUGCUUUAAGUACUGCUGAACGGGCCAUGGUAGCAGGAACAUGGAAGACAGAGGUGUUAAAAUUAAUGAUUUGAACUGUGGGAGGCUGAUUCAAGAGGUUUCCGAUAAAAAAAAAUAGUGUGUUGCUUAGAGAUCAUUCUUGUGAUAUUUUUGUGAAGAAAGUAGCUGCUUUUUGCCCUUGUCCAAAGAGUCUACCGGAAGCUAAAGUGAAGACUUUCGGGUUAGUUCUGUUGGCAAAGGAAAUCUCAAAACAGCCUAGUAUUGACUCUGUUGUGUGGUUAUUAGUGGUCGCUCUUAUGAAGAUUUAUAAUAAAAAAGAGCAAGCUAAGCAAGAGAAAGAAGCACAAAAUGUACAAUUAAGAAAAAAAAGGAGCACCAGAAAGUGGGCUAGAGCUAAGGAGAGAAACAGAUUCGGAAAUGGAAGAAUAAAGGGAGUGGUGACCUCAGGGCAAGAUCCCCCCCAGCUAAGUUUCCAACUCAUCAAAAGGAAUUAAAGAAAAGUUUAGACCCAGGUGUGGUUGUACAUGCCUUUAAUCCCAGCCCUCCAGAGGCAGAAGCUGGCAGAUCACUGAGUUUGAGGCCAGCCUGGACUACAGAUCCUGUUUCAGGACAGCCAGACUUGGGCAGUGAAGAGCAUAAAACUGGCAAAGAUGUAAUUGAACAAAGGGACCCUGUUCCCAGCUUCAGCCAUGUGGUUCUGGCUUUAGAGUCAAGGAUAGAAGAAAGACGUUAUGGAAUUUGCCUCUGAACCUAAGGAAAGCCACUGAGGUAAGGCAUGUGUCAGGGGUAUCCCUGAAUGGAGGACUAGAGAGUCCAUUGUGUGAGAAGCCGAAAUUGCUUUGGAGACCCCAAGAUGUUGGAGAUGCCAGAGCCGUGGAAUGCCUGCUAAGGAAAGCUGCUAACAGGGAAGGGAAAUAGCCCAUGAGAAAGAAGUGUAUUGCUCUCACAACAAAGCUGAAAGGAGUAGGAGAUCUGAAGAGCAUUUUGGCAUCAGACCUGGUGGUGCAGAGUUUGGAGUUUGCUGGUUUUCGGUCUUUCUUUAGUCCAGCAUUUCCUCCUAUGCUCCCUUCCCUAUGUUUUGGAAUGGUAAUAUAUAUCCGAGUACCAUUAUACGUUGGAAGUAUGUGAUCUGCAUUUUACAGGGGAUUACAGUUAAGAGAUUGCCUGAAUCUCAAGAGGAAAUAUUGUGGGUUCCCAUAAUUCUUUUAUUAACUUCAUUAGGAAUCUUCACUCUGUUUUCUGCAAUCUUGGUAUUGCCAAUACCAAGUUGCUUUUAUGACUAUAGCAUUGUAGUGCAAUUUGAGGUCAGGUAUGGUGAUUUGUCUUGUUAUUCAGGAUUGUUUUAGGAAUUCUAGGAUUUUUGUGUUUCCAUAAAAAGCUAAGAAUUGCCCUUUCAAGAUCUGUGAAAAAUCGUGUUGAAAUUUGGAUAGGCUUGCAUUGAGUUUGUAGAUUGUUUUUGGAAGAAUGGCCAUUUUUACUACAUUAAUCCUAUAAUAUUAGACUAUUACUAUAUUAACCCAUGAGCAUUGGAGGAGAUCUUUACAUCUUCUAAUAUCUUCUUCAAUUUUUUCCUUCGAUGACUUGAAACUUUUGACAUACAAUUCUUUUACUCACUUGGUUAGAUUUACCCCAAGAUAUUUUACACUCUUUGUGGCUAUUGUGAAAGGUGUUGUUUCCCUGAUUUCUUUCUCAGUCUGUUUAUCAUUUGUAUAAAGGAAGGCUCCUGACUUUUGUGAGUUAAUUUUGUAUCUAGCUACUCUGCUGAAAGUGUUUAUCAGCUGUAAGAGUGUCCUGGUAGAAUUUUUAGGAUCUCUUAUUUAUACUAUCAGGUCAUCUGCAAAUAAAGAUAAUUUGAUUUCUCUCUUUCCAAUUUGUACCCCCUUGAUCUCCUUCAGUUGUCAAAUUUCCCUAACCAAUACUUCAAGUCUAUAUUAAACAGGUAUGAAGAGAGUAGACAACCUUGACUUGUUACUGAUUUUAGUGGAAUUGCUUUGAGUUUCUCUUUAUUGAAGUUGAUGAUGAUGCUAUAAACUGUCUUUAUUAUGUUGAAGGGGUGCUGUAUUUUGUCAAGGACAUUUUCUGCACUUAGUAAGAUGGUCAUGUGAUGGUCUGUACAUGUUUCUCUUAUUGGUUGAAGAAUAAAACUCUGUUUGGCCAAUAGAGGCAAGAAGAUAGGCGAGGCGAGGAGACGAGGAGAAUUCUGAGAAGGCAAGAAAGAGUUGCCAUGUGGAAACCAGGAGGAUAGGAGGCACCAGGCAUUCUCCAGUCAGAUAAGGCCAUGUAGAAAUACAUAGAUUAGUAAGGAUUAAUAAUUAAGAGAGAGCUAUCCAAUAAGAAGCCCUAGUCAUCAACCAACAUUUAAUAAUUAAUAUACUGUCUCUGUGUGUUCAUACGGGGCUGAAGCAGUGUGACCUGGUGGAACACAAAAAAUCCAGCAACAGUCAUGUGUUUUUUGACUUUUAAUUCAUUUAUCAUGAUGGGUUUGAAUAAGAAUGCCCCCCAAGAGCUCAUAUAUUUGAAUACUUCAUCAGCAGAGAGAGGAACUGUUUGAAAAAUUGGGAGGUACAACCUCAUUGGAGGAAGUGUUUCACUGUACAUGGGUUGUGAGGUUUCAAACGCCCAGCAGGUGCAGGCUCUCUCUGCCUAUAAAUCUCUGCCUAUAGCUCUUAACUGCUUUCCUAGUGACAUACCUAUUGUCAUGCUCCCUACCAUGAUGAAACCGUAAGCUAACCCACAAUUAAAUGCUUUGUUUUCUAGGAGUUGCCUUGGGCAUAGUGCAUCUAAAUAAAAUAGUCACUGAGACAUUUAUAUAGUGAAUUAUUCUAAUCACAAGGAAACUAGAGAAAAUAUUUACAAGUAUCAUAAUAAAUCAGAAUAUUGAAAUGUAUAAAUCCAAAAACUGAGUAACAUAAACAGAAAUAAGUCAACUAAUUUAAAAUGGAAAAAAGAAUCAGUACAGUAUUGUGUUUAUGAACACAACAUUUUUAUUUACUCACCAGUUAAUGAAUAUUUGAGUUAGCUCUACUAUUAACAAUAUUGUAUGAACAUUCAUGUGUAAGUUUUACAGUAGAUAUGUUUUUAUUUUACCUAAGGAUGUAACUGGAAAUCAAAUUACUGAGAUAUAAGACACCAUUUACUGAAGAAAUGUCAAAGGUUUGGAGAAUAAGUGUACCAAUUUACAUUUCUCUGUGGAAAAUAAUUCAAAUCAUCUCCUACAUUCUAACAUUUAUAUUUUCAAUCAAUUUAUAAAACAUUUUCAUCUGUCUCAUCAUUUUCAAAUAAGCACUCAUUUUAGGCUUUAGAACCUCAGAAUUAUAGGGCAGUAUCAGUAUGGGAGGCAAAGUAAUGAUUAGAUUGAACUGUAAACUUAGUAAGGCAAUUCAUGGACAAAGAAAUCUAUUCUUGAUAGAUAAAUAUAAAUAAAAUAAUGUUGCUAUGCACACUUACUAAUAAUGAUACUUGUUUCAAAAGUCCAUAAAAGUUGUAUUCCAGAAAGUAACUUAAUUUUAGGAAGAUGGGGGAAGCAUCUACAAGUAUUAAGAUAGGGUGUAAAAAUGAAAGGAAGCAAACUAUCUCGGCAGUCUGGAGAAGUAACAGUCCAAGAGCAAAGCUGGACAUUUGGUGAGGUAACUGAACACAAAUAACAAGGAGCUAGAAAGAACCAUGGACACACUUUUUUUUUUUUUUUACUUUACAAUGGAGAGAUUUAAAGUAGAAUCAUGGUCCAAAUUCGUAGAGCAUUUGGAAAGCGAUGAUACAGUGUGAAGGAAGCAGGUGGCAAGGUUAAAGCAUGGGUCAACAUGAUGAUUUAACGGCAGUUUUGAAAAAUUACUGGAGGCAGGCAAGACAACAGUCUGCAAGUGAAAAGAUUUUAAAUCAGGCCAGGUGGAAGAUGCUGGCUCUGAGUCUUGGCAGCUCAUGUGUUUGGUUAAAAGGAUGACUGAUAAAAGUCUAAAUAUUAUUAAAAUGCUGAUUGGAAAAUGUUUACAGUACAAUAAAAAGAGAAUUCUUGCGAGGAACAGCCUCCAGUCCUCUGUUGUGUCUGUCUUUUAUAAAGAUUGAUGAGAAAGUUAAGAAAAUCAAUUUAGAUGAUUAAAGAAGCAGUAUCCUUCCAGCCAUCCAGACCAGGUUCAUUGUCGCCAAAUAGCCUCAGUGAUAGAAAUAAGCUGGCAGCGACGAGGAAAUAUCUUUUACAGAACAGAAGGUUUUUCAAAGACCAUUCAGUCAAGCAAAUGGCUACCUCAUUAACCAAACUGGGAACUAUUCCAAACGUUUACAAAAUAAUUGUAUUCAACACCUACGUCCAAAGCUUCUUUCGUGGGCUUUCUCUCCCCUUUCUCUCCUCAUUAAAGCAGCCCACCAUUUUCCUAGGUGGCUGUCUGGCGUACUUUUGUUUUCUGUUCUAGACAAAGCAUGACUGACAGUGAUAAAGAAAAUUAUAUAUUAAUUCUUCCCCACAAACAGCAAAUAGAUGAAAAAGACAUGUUCAGAUGUCCCAUGCCUUCGUAGAGAUUGGGGUAUGAAUUCCAAGCUAUUCAUUUCAGUGAAUUCCCAGCACCCUUUGUUUAGCUGUGUAUGCAAGCUGAACCAGUAUGAUUGCAGAAGACAUAUAAUUACCACAUUCACUGUAAUUCUAAAAAUCACUUUGAUUCCUUUCUGCAUGACUUCAAAUGGCACCUUUGUGCUUUACUCAGUCUUUAGUAUACUCAUUUAAAUAUAAAUGAAGAUGCUAAUGAUGGAUAGCUUGGUAGAUAGAUAGAUAAUCCCCUAUUCCUUAUUUAGAAACAAAACAAACAAAAAGCUAUGGCUUGAUGGUUUAGCAGUGGACCAGCCUAGGAUGUCUAUACCUGAAUUCUCUCUACAUCUAAAUAAAUACAUCCUUUUAUUUCCUUAAAUUCUUAAUGAUAUCCACUGUUAUCUUUUCUGUUUUUUAGGAUGUUUGCAGAUCAGAAAAUCACCCAUGAGCUCUAUUUCAGGGCGAUUCUACCAACUCACUACUUUGGCUUUAAACCUUCUGACCUUUGCUUUAUGAGUGGAUCUUAGUACUCAGGCAAAAUGAACAUGGAAUUGCAAGUAUCUCUGUUGCAGCAUAUGAAUGGAGCCUCUGGUAAAAUAACGUCCUGAAAAACAUUUCUGCCCAAGUCUAUCCGCACUUAGUGAUUCUGGAUACUGUGGGAUUUUAUGCAGAUCACAGUCUACCUGUCUGAAACAAAAUAUUGGCAAAAUAGCUGGUGCAUCUCAAAUCAACUAUGUACUAAACAAAAUGAUUUUAAGGAGCACAUAAAAAUCAAAAUAACAAUUCUCAACUUUAUAUGGAAAAACAAAAGACCCAGGAUAGCCAAAAGAACCCUGUACAACUGCUGAACUGAAUCAACCAGUGUACUUCAAAGAUGUACUGACCUCGGUAUGGAAACCCGGACAUGUGAUACGUUGGGGUGGGGGUUUUGCAUUUGUUUCCACAGGAGAAGAAAAUCUUUGGAUACCAUCAAAAUCGAUCAAGAUUCGAGUUGAAAAGACAACCCCCUCAACAAGGACAACUGACAGGUAUUUACUGAGGUAUAUCUCAUGACCUAAAUAAAAGCUUCCCAAAGGAAUGGGAAGUGCUUUGUUUUUAUCCUCACAGGAAAACCCACCUCCGGAAGUCAAAGGACACUACAUGUGUAGAUACUUAAGGAAAGAAUGUAGCUAUAACCAUCGAACAAAAGGAACGUGCCAUACGGUAAACUUUACAGCUGUCUCUCAAAUAACUAUUUCUCUUCAUUUCCUAGUCCCUAUUCAAUUAAAUCAAUGCUGGAUUUAAAGUUGGAUUUGGCUUUCCUCCCCUAAAAUCCAAGCAUGUUAUUUAACAAAAUUUUAAAGUUUCUGUGUUAUAUCAAGAAGCCAAUUGAUGUAACACAGAAUAAAUGAAGAAUUGGAGGACUAUCUUUGUCUUUUCUUGGCUCUUUCUUUCACGGCCUACGCCCUCUCAUAAUUGUCGUUUUUCAAUGGUUGCCUUUCCCAGUACACAUACAUGUGCAAGCAAACAUUUCUCUGCCGACACUUAUGUUUGAGUCCCAUACAGCCAAUGAAGACCUGCCUGACGACAAUCCCUGCAUGCUCCAGAAAAAGAAUUGGACCAUACCUCUCUGAAUAUACUGGAUUCAACUCACUCCAUUUCAACUGACACCCCGCCAGCACCUUGAGUACUGACUUCAAUCAAGUUGAGGAUUUCAACCUAGAUCUUCAAUCAAGCAAAUCCCAUCUAACAUGGACUGGAGAUAACCCAAUAGAGACUUUCCCUGUGCUAACAUUUUUUCCACAGGACCCCACAAGGCUACCAUCGUCCCAUUUCAACAGGAAGUAACUUAGAAGAUGCUAUGCCCCCGUUCCCCAUUGUUGUUUAUUAGAGUAGUGUAAGGCUAGUUAGGAAUAACUUUCUUAUUGUUUAGAGUUGGGAUUGGAAGGAGGUGUUCAAGUUAGACACCCUUUCCACAUGUCUUGAGGGCUUAGCCGGAAUAGACAUAGUUAGGAUGUGCAACUACAGAUUAUUGUAUCUUCUUAUAUUUCACCUUUAUGAUUGUUAAUUUUGGAUGUUUUACACUAUUAAGUUUUAAUCCUCUUUUAGAUUAAAAGGGGAAUUGUAGGGAGACACUGUAGCCCCGCCUCCUAGUAGCCCAGACAGGUGUGAGGGGAAGUCUAAGGUGACUCAGGAACGGUUCUUAAGGGACCUGUGCACACGUGGAGAGUCCCUUCUCCCUUCUCUCUCUGGCCUGGCUGCCUUACUGCCCCUGGCACGCUCUGGCUUGCACUUGGCUGGUGUUCAUCUAAAUAAAGAAAUCUUAGCCUUACAGACUGCGGAGUGAUCUCUUCAGAGGAGGGGAGAGGAAGACAUGAGAAAGCAGGAAGAUUUAGUCAGUGGAAGAAUUGAGAACAAGAAAAGAGAUACCACAAUAGAGGGAGCCAUUACAGUUUUAAAGAGAAUUCUGGCACUAGGGAAAUGUCCAGAGAUCUACAAGUUUGACCCCAACUAACAAUCUAAUCAGUGGUUGAGAUGCUACCUUAAAUGCCCUUCUCCAAUAAUGAGAUUGAUGAUUACCUUAUAGGCCAUCCUAGUGCCUUCAUCCAGUAGCUGAUGGAAGCAGAGGCAGACACCCACAGCUAAACACUAAGCUUAACUCUGGAAUCCAGUCACAGAGAGGGAGGAGUGAUGAGCAAAGGGGUAAGAACAAGACUGGAGAAAUCCACUAGGACAGCUGACCUGAACAAGGGGUUGCUCAUGGACCCCAGACUCAUAGGUGGGAAACGAGUAGAGGACUGUUCCAGACCCCCUGAAGGAGGAAGUCAGUUUGGAGGUCUGGAUAAUCUAUGGGGCCACUGGUAGUGAAUCAGUAUUUAUCCCGAGUACACAAAGGAACUUUGGGAGCCCUCUCCACAUAGGGGGAUACUCUCUCAGCCUAGACUCAUGGGGGAUGCUCUAGGCCCUGUUCCAAAUGACAGACUUUGAUGAUCCCCCAUGGAAGGCCUCGCCCUCCCUGGGGAACAGAAAAGGGUUGGGAUUGGAGGGGAAAGGGGAAAAGGGGGGCAGAGGGAAUUGGGAUUGACAUGUAAAAGAAGCUUGUUUCUAAUUUUUAAAAAAGUCAAAAAAUCAAAAUAACAGUUUUGGUAAGUUGAGAAUAGCAGACAUUUUAUCUAAUCAACCUGUGAUCGUGCCAGCCUUUGUCAUGGUUGGUAUCACUUUCACAUUUCACUGAAAAAAAAAAAGAAGAAGAAGAAGUUUAAGAAUCACUCAACACUUUUAGAAGACUACAUAAAAAUAUUUGUGGUUGAAAUAAAGUAUCUGUCUUACUAAGAUAAAUUGGCCAGUUUCUGUGUUUGCAGAAUGAAGUGGAUCUUAACACUUUGAAAUGUAAAAUAUUUACAAGGAUAAUGGGUUACACAUCAUUCAAGCUAAUUAAGCUUAGUGGAAGACACACAGGCUUGUUUCUUUUUUCAAUGUUGCGAUGAUAGAAUUACUGCGUUGUAUAAAGAAGUGGG